AGUGAACGCUGGCGGUAGGCCUAACACAUGCAAGUCGAACGGCAGCACAGUAAGAGCUUGCUCUUACGGGUGGCGAGUGGCGGACGGGUGAGGAAUACAUCGGAAUCUACUUUUUCGUGGGGGAUAACGUAGGGAAACUUACGCUAAUACCGCAUACGACCUUCGGGUGAAAGCAGGGGAUCUUCGGACCUUGCGCGAUUGAAUGAGCCGAUGUCGGAUUAGCUAGUUGGCGGGGUAAAGGCCCACCAAGGCGACGAUCCGUAGCUGGUCUGAGAGGAUGAUCAGCCACACUGGAACUGAGACACGGUCCAGACUCCUACGGGAGGCAGCAGUGGGGAAUAUUGGACAAAGGGCGCAAGCCUGAUCCAGCCAUACCGCGUGGGUGAAGAAGGCCUUCGGGUUGUAAAGCCCUUUUGUUGGGAAAGAAAAGCAGCAGGUUAAUACCCCGCUGUUCUGACGGUACCCAAAGAAUAAGCACCGGCUAACUUCGUG
rnacentral:rRNA from 1 species